GCAGCGGGUAGUCAGUCAGUUCAGUUGAGCUGCCCCGCAGACCGACAACACCUUCCGACACCGCCUUCUCAUGAUGGGGCAGCGCAUGAUGCUGACCACCGCGCUGCUGGUGCUGCUGCCGCUCGCAGUGGUGGCCGCCCUGGGCCACUUCGUCGACGACAACGCCAGCCCGCUGACCGGCGGGCGCGCCCACCUCCGGCAGCGGCGCUCGGCCACCGAGGAGCUGCGGAGGCUCCGACGAUGCGACGAGGAGGAACGCCACUGCAGCGCUGCGACCUGCGGCUGCCCCCCGGAGGAGGGCCCGGACGACUACAAGUGCCUGCAGAUGUGCGUGCACAACUGCGGCUGCGGCUGCGCCGGGUACCCGCGGGGCGGCAUGGACUACGGCCCGUGGCUGGCGUGCACCCAGGACUAGGGCUGUGCGGAGGAGCGCGAGGCGUGUCACGGGCGCUGCGGGGACCGGCAGGAGUGCGAGGACGCGUGCCUCCUGGACCUCACCAAGUGCGUCUGCGAGUGCGUGCAGCUGGCCGGCACCCGGGCCAGCACCAGCAGCACCAGCACCGCGGCCAUCAACCACAGCACCACCGAGGUGGUGCCCAACAACACCACCAACAAAAACACGGACGGAGCGAACUGAAAAUUUGCAAAUGAAGAACGCGCGAGGCGAGGUAUCGAUCGUGCAAGUGCACAACGACUUCAAAUAAAUAGAAGAAUGGAUAAAACAAUAAAUCCGACAGAAAAAAAUAGUCGUAAGUUAACGGAGAACACUUUCAUGAUGUGCCGUAAAAUUACAGUUUGAAAUUGUAAAUUAACAAGCACUCCCCGCGCCUCAAAACGUAAAUUCUAGUGGCCAGCCCUUCACCAGGCUCCACGAUGAUGGGGAUGCACGACAACACCGGCUUGGGCUCGCCACCCAGGGCACACGUAGGGCCGCGACCCGCGACCUACUGAGCGUGGAAGGUUCACGGCCCCGGGCCGGAGCCUGCGCCGGGAGGGAGGUCGGCGAUGGCGAUGGCCUCUCGGGCCGAGCCCCCGCCGGGCAGGCUCGCGACCCGACGCAUCACCCGGAUAAACAGGAUA